AUCCCUGUCAGGCAGGGGUGAUACUGUGAUCACGAAGGUAGCUUCUCCAGGGCGAGGUUGGUCACUCGCAAUGUGGAGGUACUGACCCCUGCGACUUCCCCAAAUGUGGGAACCUCGGCUGCGUGAUUUGUGGAGGUAGGGAAGGUCUUCUCACUCGCCCCUG